rnacentral:rRNA from 1 species
AGGAAUCUGCCUAUUAGUGGGGGACAACAUUCCGAAAGGAAUGCUAAUACCGCAUACGCCCUACGGGGGAAAGCAGGGGAUCUUCGGACCUUGCGCUAAUAGAUGAGCCUAAGUCAGAUUAGCUAGUUGGUGGGGUAAAGGCCUACCAAGGCGACGAUCUGUAGCGGGUCUGAGAGGAUGAUCCGCCACACUGGGACUGAGACACGGCCCAGACUCCUACGGGAGGCAGCAGUGGGGAAUAUUGGACAAUGGGCGAAAGCCUGAUCCAGCCAUGCCGCGUGUGUGAAGAAGGCCUUUUGGUUGUAAAGCACUUUAAGCGAGGAGGAGGCUACUUGGAUUAAUACUCUAGGAUAGUGGACGUUACUCGCAGAAUAAGCACCGGCUAACUCUGUGCCAGCAGCCGCGGUAAUACAGAGGGUGCGAGCGUUAAUCGGAUUUACUGGGCGUAAAGCGUGCGUAGGCGGCUUUUUAAGUCGGAUGUGAAAUCCCUGAGCUUAACUUAGGAAUUGCAUUCGAUACUGGGAAGCUAGAGUAUGGGAGAGGAUGGUAGAAUUCCAGGU